rnacentral:rRNA from 1 species
UACGUAGGGGGCAAGCGUUGUCCGGAUUUAUUGGGCGUAAAGAGCGUGUAGGCGGUUUGGUAGGUCCGCUGUGAAAACUCGAGGCUCAACCUCGAGACGCCGGUGGAAACCAUCAGGCUAGAGUCCGGAAGAGGAGAGUGGAAUUCCUGGUGUAGCGGUGAAAUGCGCAGAUAUCAGGAGGAACACCGGUGGCGAAGGCGGAUCUCUGGGCCUGUCCUGACGCUGAGGCGCGAAAGCUAGGGGAGCGAACAGG